UACGGAGGGUGCGAGCGUUGUCCGGAAUCACUGGGCGUAAAGGGCGCGUAGGUGGCUUCUCAAGCGCGCGGUGAAAGCCCGGGGCUCAACCCCGGGUCGGCCGUGCGGACUGGGAGGCUCGAGCACUGUAGGGGCGGGUGGAAUUCCGGGUGUAGCGGUGGAAUGCGUAGAGAUCCGGAAGAACACCGGUGGCGAAGGCGGUCUGCUGGGCAGUAGCUGACACUGAGGCGCGACAGCGUGGGGAGCAAACAGG
rnacentral:rRNA from 1 species